ACACGUAGGGGGCGAGCGUUGUUCGGAAUUACUGGGCGUAACGGGCAUGUAGGCGGUCUUGUAAGCUUGGCGUGAAAGACCACGGCUCAACCGCGGGAUUGCGUUGAGAACUGCGAGGCUUGAGUGACGGAGAGGGAGCUAGAAUUCCUGGUGUAGGGGUGGAAUCUGUAGAGAUCAGGAAGAAUACCAAUGGCGAAGGCAAGCUCCUGGCCGAUGACUGACGCUGAGGUGCGAAAGUGUGGGGAUCAAACAGGAUUAGAUACCCUGGUAGUCCACACUGUAAACGAUGUGCACUAGGUGCUGGUACGGAUGUAUCAGUGCCGUAGCUAACGUGAUAAGUGCACCGCCUGGGGAGUAUGCUCGCAAGGGUGAAACUCAAAUGAAUUGGCGGGG
rnacentral:rRNA from 1 species